rnacentral:lncRNA from 1 species
CCGCAACCAGUUUUUCUUAUUCAGUUUAAUUUAUAUAUGAUUCAUUGUCAUUUGUAAGUGCCCAAUGAUGAUAUUUAAAGCUAAUCAAAAAUUACACUUAGUUGUUACUCUAAUUUCUAAUGGAUUGUUUCCGUGUAACAUGCAGAGAAUUGCAUUGUAAAGAAUCAUCAGUUAUUGACUCAAAAGACUGAAAUCAAGCCCAAACAAUAAAGAAAGCAGUAGUUAAUUUCAAUUCAAAUAAAAUCAUUAUUCUCAUCAAUUGGCUAAAUUAUAUCCAGUCAAUUUUUUAAUUAGCAUGGCUGUAUUUCAAAAUGUUAUUGCUCUAAGCAUUUCCAUGAAUAUAUAGCAUAAACACUGAGAAAAAGUCAAACAUUUUUAAACAGGAAUUCUCACCACAAUUUAAGUUAGAACACUAUUUGUGUUCUAACUCUUUCUCCUAUCUCUUAAAUAUUCCAGCACACAGCCAAGGUGUGCUGCGAUUUAAAUACUUCAAUAAAAAGACGUAAAGGUUCUUUCAGGAGCAUCUAUCUGUGAGAUUCGUCACUCUACA